GUGUAUACCAUAUUACAAAGAGGAGUUUGCCAGCACAUUGGUUCUGCGGUUGUAUGAAACAACCAGAAUGUAUUUGGGCUAACGAUUUUGAUGAACCAACGAAGCUUCGACGAUUCUUUGUUCGUUCCUCUAAUUCCGAAUUGAAGUUGUUCUUGCGUAGUCUGGCGAAAAAAGAGGUGAAGAGUAGGAGAGUGACAUUAUUUAUUCAAAGUUUGGCUGGUAAUACGAAUGCUGAUAAUCUUUUGAAACAAAA